CGGUAACAGGGGAGCUUGCUCCCGCUGACGAGUGGCGAACGGGUGAGUAAUGCAUCGGAACGUGCCGAAUAGUGGGGGAUAACGCACCGAAAGGUGUGCUAAUACCGCAUACGCCCUGAGGGGGAAAGUGGGGGACCGCAAGGCCUCACGCUAAUCGAGCGGCCGAUGUCGGAUUAGCUAGUUGGUGGGGUAAAGGCUCACCAAGGCGACGAUCCGUAGCGGGUCUGAGAGGAUGAUCCGCCACACUGGGACUGAGACACGGCCCAGACUCCUACGGGAGGCAGCAGUGGGGAAUUUUGGACAAUGGGGGAAACCCUGAUCCAGCCAUGCCGCGUGUCUGAAGAAGGCCUUCGGGUUGUAAAGGACUUUUGUCCGGGAGGAAACCCUGAUCGUUAAUAGCGGUCGGGACUGACAGUACCGGAAGAAUAAGCACCGGCUAACUACGUGCCAGCAGCCGCGGUAAUACGUAGGGUGCAAGCGUUAAUCGGAAUUACUGGGCGUAAAGCGUGCGCAGGCGGUGAGAUAAGUCAGCUGUGAAAGCCCCGGGCUCAACCUGGGAACUGCGGCCGAAACUGUCUCGCUAGAGUACGUCAGAGGGGGGUGGAAUUCCACGUGUAGCAGUGAAAUGCGUAGAGAUGUGGAGGAACACCAAUGGCGAAGGCAGCCCCCUGGGAUGAUACUGACGCUCAUGCACGAAAGCGUG
rnacentral:rRNA from 1 species